rnacentral:lncRNA from 1 species
CAUGAUUCAGAGGUUUCAUCGGUAUUGGAAAGCUGAAACUACAAGGAAGUGGCUGCUGAAUGUCCUCCUCACGCGCUCGAUUCGAUUACUGGAAGUCUGAGCUUCCCUACGGUAGCUGAGAAAUAAAGCCACGGAUAAGAGUCAACAAAAUGACCAACAAAGAGACCUUCAAGGGAUCCAGAUCCUGGGACUGUUGCGGGAAGAC